rnacentral:rRNA from 1 species
GAUGAACGCUGGCGGCGUGCCUAAUACAUGCAAGUCGAGCGAACGGAUGAGAAGCUUGCUUCUCCGAUGUUAGCGGCGGACGGGUGAGUAACACGUGGAUAACCUACCUAUAAGACUGGGAUAACUUCGGGAAACCGGAGCUAAUACCGGAUAAUAUUUUGAACCGCAUGGUUCAACAGUGAAAGACGGUCUUGCUGUCACUUAUAGAUGGAUCCGCGCUGCAUUAGCUAGUUGGUAAGGUAACGGCUUACCAAGGCAACGAUGCAUAGCUGACCUGGGAGGGUGAUCGGCCACACUGGAACUGAGACACGGUCCAGACUCCUACGGGAGGCAGCAGUAGGGAAUCUUACGCAAUGGGCGAAAGCCUGACGGAGAAACGCCGCGUGAGUGAUGAAGGUCUUCGGAUCGUAAAACUCUGUUAUUAGGGAAGAACAUAUGUGUAAGUAACUGUGCACAUAUUGACGGUACCUACUCAGAAAGCCACGGCUAACUACGUG